rnacentral:tRNA from 1 species
GCCUGGGUGGCUCAGUCAUUGAGCGUCUGACUUCUGCUCAGGUCGUGAUCCCAGUGUCCUGGGAUCGAGCCCCACUUCGGGCU